rnacentral:rRNA from 1 species
CGCUGGCGGCGCGCCUAACACAUGCAAGUCGAUCGAGNACCAGGGCUUCGGCCCUGGGGGCAGCGGCGAACGGGUGAGUAACACGUGGAUAACCUGCCCUCGGCACCGGAAUAGCCCGGGGAAACCCGGAUUAAUGCCGGAUAGCCCCACAUCCCUGCGGGGAACGUGGGAAAAGGUAGCUUCGGCCUCUGGCCGAGGAUGGGUCCGCGGUGGAUUAGCUUGUUGGCGGGGUAACGGCCCACCAAGGCGACGAUCCAUAGCUGGUCUGAGAGGACGAUCAGCCACACUGGGACUGAGACACGGCCCAGACUCCUACGGGAGGCAGCAGUGGGGAAUCUUGCGCAAUGGGCGAAAGCCUGACGCAGCGACGCCGCGUGCGGGAAGAAGGCCUUCGGGUUGUAAACCGCUUUCAGGAGGGACGAAGCCACUCGGGUUAAUAGCCCAGAGGGUGACGGUACCUCCAGAAGAAGCCCCGGCUAACUACGUGCCAGCAGCCGCGGUAAUACGUAGGGGGCAAGCGUUGUCCGGAUUCAUUGGGCGUAAAGAGCGUGUAGGCGGCCAGGUAGGUCGGUUGUGAAAACUGGAGGCUCAACCUUCAGAGGUCGACCGA